rnacentral:lncRNA from 1 species
GCUCAACCCAGGAAGUGGAAGGCUGGUAGAUACCACUUCAUGCUCUUCCUUGUAAGUUGCUAUCAUUGAGUGGCUGGUAUAAGGCAAAUGGCAUAGCUGACUGCACUACCAUAUCCUGAGUCUGUUGGCCAUAUUUUCAAAUGUGGGAAGGAGAAAAUGUAGCUUCUGAAUGUGCCAUCCUUCUCCUGUGAUAGUUGGAGAACAAACUGUGAGGGAAGGAAGGUGUGGUCCUGUCACAUGUUUUUAGUUACCCUUCUCUUUCUUGGACUUUGAAAAAUUGUUUCCUUCAUUUCACCAAGGAGCAGAGUAACACCUUCACAAAGAAGUCGGUAUUAAAAUGGUAUAUGAUUUAAGGUCCUUCCCUACCCAUCUAUGGUUUUGGUUUUUAAAUUGAGUAAUUUUCAGUUAUUCCUCACUCUGAGAAAAUUGUGUUAAGUAAGAUCUUGUUGUAAUGUAGAGAGGAAGGGAAGAAUUUAGCAUAUGUUAAAUAAAGAUUCAUUUGUGAAAAUUGUUACUGUUAAGCAGCUUGGGAAUGG